rnacentral:rRNA from 1 species
AUCCUGGCUCAGGACGAACGCUGGCGGCGUGCCUAAUACAUGCAAGUCGAGCGGACCGACGGGAGCUUGCUCCCUUAGGUCAGCGGCGGACGGGUGAGUAACACGUGGGUAACCUGCCUGUAAGACUGGGAUAACUCCGGGAAACCGGGGCUAAUACCGGAUGCUUGAUUGAACCGCAUGGUUCAAUCAUAAAAGGUGGCUUUUAGCUACCACUUACAGAUGGACCCGCGGCGCAUUAGCUAGUUGGUGAGGUAACGGCUCACCAAGGCGACGAUGCGUAGCCGACCUGAGAGGGUGAUCGGCCACACUGGGACUGAGACACGGCCCAGACUCCUACGGGAGGCAGCAGUAGGGAAUCUUCCGCAAUGGACGAAAGUCUGACGGAGCAACGCCGCGUGAGUGAUGAAGGUUUUCGGAUCGUAAAACUCUGUUGUUAGGGAAGAACAAGUACCGUUCGAAUAGGGCGGUACCUUGACGGUACCUAACCAGAAAGCCACGGCUAAC